GUUCGGUCCCUAUCCGUCGCGGGCGCAGGAAAUUUGAGAGGAGCUGUCCUUAGUACGAGAGGACCGGGAUGGACGCACCGCUGGUGUACCAGUUGUUCUGCCAAGGGCAUCGCUGGGUAGCUAUGUGCGGACGGGAUAAGUGCUGAAAGCAUCUAAGCAUGAAGCCCCCCUCAAGAUGAGAUUUCCCAUUCCUAUAAGGAAGUAAGAUCCCUGAAAGAUGAUCAGGUUGAUAGGUCUGAGGUGGAAGUGUGGCGACACAUGGAGCUGACAGAUACUAAUCGAUCGAGGACUUAACCUAAA
rnacentral:rRNA from 1 species